GCCAGUGUGGCGUAGUGGUUUGAGAGUUGGACUGAAACUUUGGAGACCAGGGUUCAAUUCCCACUGGCA
rnacentral:tRNA from 1 species